CCAGGGAUCAGCACAGGGCUCAAGAUGGGUCAGUCAGAAGCAGUGAACGUGGGAUUUUGUGGGAAGCAUCAGAAAGGCUCUUCUGGGUGAUCACUUUGUAACAUAUAAAAAUAUUACAGCAGCCUGCUGUACAUCUGGAACUAACACAGUGUUAGUCUAAUACAGGUCAGUUAUACUUUAAGUUAAAAACCAAGAGGGUUUAGAAAUGGAUUCUUCCCUAGAGCCGCCAGAAUGAAUGCAGCCUGCUGAAGACUGAUUUUAGUUUCAGUGAGAGUGACCUCCCAAACUGUCAAUAAUGAAUGUGUGUGUGGCGCCUUAAGCCAAAAAAGGGGGCAGGGCAGAGUGGGGCAUCUUCCCUGGGUGACCAAGUUACUAAGACAUAGCUUACAGCCUCCUGUUUGGCCACUCUGCUGAAAUGUGAAAAUGCCAAAAUUGAAAAUGAAGCCAAAAUAGAGGAAAGCAGGGUCAAGAGAUGAAAUAUUCCAGAGAACACAGUUUAAGCAUCUGGAUCAAUGCCUAAAGCCUUUCCACAGAGUUCUGUUACAUAAGCCAAUGAACUCUGAGCUACUUCUGAGUUACAACUAUCAUUUCCAACUAAAACCACCCUGAUGAAUGCAGUAGGCUAUGUUCAGACAAAUAUAGCUGUGUGUACUCAAGACCUAGAAACGGCAAGACACGUGAACUGUGGAACACCAGGGCCCACGCUUGCCACCAUCAACAUUAAGUAAACAAGGCCUCUCCCUCCAAGAACAGGCCUGUUGAUGAGUGAGAUAACUCAGGUGGCAUUUGUAGGAGCCAGUGUCACAUCUGGCUCUUAGUGCUCAGAAGAGGGUUAUCUCCGCUCAUAUCCCCAAGCGUGCAAGUCAGGUCUAGGAGCUACAUUCACAAGCCCACAGGCUUCCAACCAAGUCAUCUUUUCGCCUCUCUGAAGACAGCCAAGAACCACCCCACCAGUUCUCACGUGCAACUGUUGUGAAGGUUCCACCUGUGCAGAUCACCUCGUGAUUAUUAAGCACCCGCUGCAGGCCAGGCUCCGUGCUGGGGCUUCAGUCACCCAACUCCACUCAGUUCCUCCCUCCUUGGCAGACAAGCCUUUCGUAAACUCUCCUCCAACUACCCCACGGAGUGGCCCUUUUCUCAUGCAGGGAUGCUGGCUGGUAUUAAUACAAGGGGGUAUCUGAAGGGUAGCACCAUCUACUUUCUAUGAUUCUUGGUAUAUAUAUUUUUAACAUAUUAAAGUAACUAUUCUAACAUCAAGUGAUAGAGAAUUUGAGUCUAAGCUAGAGACAGAGAACGGAUGUUCACUAUUACAGGAGAAACCCUUGGCUAUGACUAUGUGAGAUUAAGAGCAGCAAGCUAUUCCAGGUGGGGAAAGGGGUUUACUGUGUGAGCUUUAGCAGAGACUGUGAGGUUCAGCAAAGACUGCCUCUCUCUGGAUUCCAGGGGGCAGGGUGGACCAGUCUGCACAGGAAACCAGAGGAUGAAAUUGGGGACAGCCAUGGGGGUAGUCUGGGAUGGCCCUGAAGCAGGCACAUGGCAGGAAAGACCCUGAAGGGGACACCACCCCGCCCCCUGCAGAAAGGCAGAGAGACCCUGGUGGCUGGCCCAGAUUAGAAUCAAAAGGUUCAAGGGAACAGCUGACAGAAGCCUGCAAGGAUCCUGGCAGAUGUCCUGCUCCAGGGAAGGCAGGCUGAACAAGGGACAGCCAAGGGGAGCAGUUCCAGGGCCGAGUGGGGUGGCCCCACAGCCCUAUGCAUGUGUCCCCAGAGCGCAGGCAGGCCAACGGACUUGCGUCAGCAACACUGUGAUCACCACAAUUAGUGUGGUGUCCCAGUCCAGCUUGGGAAAAACUGACCUUUGGAAUUCUCUUGACAUUUAGGGGAUGGGUGAUCAAAGAGGAAGGCAUUGAUGUAAGAUUCAUCACUUAUGGACAUAAAGGCCUGAGCAUCACUGGAAAAGUAAAGAUGAAAGAGCAUGUCCCAAGCUAGUGACACAGGUCCUACCAGGAACUUCUGGGGUCCCAGACCAACACGCCCAUAGGGGCAUCUUUGUGUCUCCAGCUCUGGCACCAGGAAAGACCCACAGGACAAGCUCAGAUCAGAGCUACGGUUCUGCCCAUGGUUAACUACACGCUAGAGAACAUCAGAUAAAGGACACACCAAGCCCUCAGGUUUGUCUAACCUCCAUCACUCCCAGACCCAACACCCUGAGGCCCACCUCCACCCCAACCCCUCCCAGAGGCAGGAGACAUCCCCCCAGGCUCAGCUGCCCUCCAGUCUCCCCCAAGACUGCAUGACAAAGCACAUCCAUCUCUUCUUCUGAGACCAUCCACCCAUCUUUCAUUUCUUCUUCCUCAUUUUCAAUUCCUACUUUUCUAUUUAUUCUCAACAUUUAAGUGUUGCAACAUGAAUAAAGCAAUACUUAAGACUA
ensembl:lncRNA